GGAGAGAACACUUCGUUGGGAGCAGAUUAAAACCCGGACAUUUGCGAGUUUGUACUUCUGUAAACAGGAUGCAGUUAAAUCUUGUCUUUGCGUAUAUAGUUACCUUCUAGAAUGGGAAGACAAAAGUCAGCAUGGCUGCUGAUGGUUCAGGAUACAAUGGAUGACCUUGGCUUCUUUGAUGUCUCUAAGCUCUAAGAGGUCCAUACCACCUGCUUCAGUCACUUUCAUGGUCAUUGGAACAAAUUAUUAUCACCUGCCUGUUCCAGUGGGAGAAGUCUUCACUCUAACUCACUGAGCAGAUUUGAAUUAUAUCAGUUACCCUCAACCCUGGAGUGACCCAUCUACAGAGAGAGUUUACUGGAGUAAACUUCUCCAGUAAAAAACAGCUUCUGGAGGCCACAGAUUCACAGGAAUAAUUCUGAAGAGGGAGAAGAUAGAAUUUUGUACCUUCACUUUAGGAAAGUGAUUCCAAGCUUACAUUCAGUUUCAAAGCGGUUGAACCUGUUAUUAUAAAAACUUAAUGACAAUUGACCUGAGCUAUUUACAUAUUAAAUACCCGGAAUGGGAGUGUGGAUGGGGGGAGGGAACCAAGAGCCUUAAAGGAACAGGAGACAUUUUCUCCUCAACCCAAGCUGGAGAAUCUAUCUGAUUUAUAAAGAUUAUUUGAACUUGGAA